rnacentral:lncRNA from 1 species
GAAAAGGGGAAACUGCGACAAAUCAAAGGUAUGAUUAGAAACCCAAAGAGACUCAUGAAAACACUUUAAUUUUCUGCAAUUUUUUUUCUUUCUGAUCAUUGAUUGUAAAAAACCUCAGAAGGUGGUCCAUGGCUGAUUUACAGCUAAAGAAAAGAGGAUACAUCUAGGCAAUCUCUGUUGGGUUCAAUGCAGCUCUUGCUGCCGUCUCUGCGAAGUUUUUCUCACUAUCGUAAUGAAAAUCUUAACUACUAAAUAUAUCCCAUUUUCAUUUGUGUAACUUUUUUUUUCCAUGAGAGGGGU